rnacentral:lncRNA from 1 species
GUCCAAUCAGGGACUUUAAUAAAACGAAGCCUGCCAGCCCAGGGCGCUACCCAUUCGCUGCGCGCGGAAGACCGAGAGUUCACGCCGGGGACAAGGGCGACCCGGCCGGGGGUGGGUGGGGAGUGGGGGGUGGGAUUCCCAACCCACCGGGGCUGCGGGCCCCCUUUCAUGGCGCCUUUUGUUGGGCUCGCCCUGGCGCGGGAGUGGCGCGAUCAGGUGCUUGGCCACGAGCCGGGCAAGCGGGGUCCCUGCCCAGGACGGACGGCGCGCUGCCGUGGGUGGAGCUGUCCCACAGGGGCCGGGCCACACCCACUCUGUGAGUCUCUCGCAGUGAUUAUGACGGAAGGAAGACAUACCAGAACCAAGUGCUGGCUCAGAGGUGUGGACCUAGUCUUGAAGCCCUGUGAUGAACAGAAUCUGUUUCCAGUGUCUCUUGGGCACCUCUGCUGACUCAUCCAUGCCCUGAGAGGACGCAGCCAGAGGACACAGCCAAGGGGCAGCCCCCACCACACAGCGUGCCAUUUGAACUCCGAACUUGUGGAACGGUGACCUAAACACACCGCUUCUUCCCAGGCAGCCCGUGUCAGCGGACUCGCACAACUGCCUCUUUUUUUCCACCGUGACUAUGGUGCUCUCCCGCUUUUCAGCAGUAGCCCACUAUUUUUAUUUACAAUAUGGACAAAAGCAGCUUGUCCACUGGGACCUCUAUGCUCCGACUCUGGUGGAUGCAGGCAAACCUCUGUCCUGUCGGGGAAAUAGCUCAGGCACCGACGCUGGAGAAUGAAGCACUGCUCCUCGGGCAGACAGGGGAAAGAUGACCAGCGCUAACAGGUAGUAGUGGCUGCUAUUUACUGAGCAUUUUCUUAGCACCGGGCAUUGCACUCUGCUUGAUGGGCGCUGUCUUAUAUGUCUUCAGAUAACUCUGUGAGGCAGGUAUUAUGAUCCCCAAAUUAUGGAUAAGGGAAGAGAUCAGAGACAAGUAGCUUUGGAAGAGGUCACACAGCAAGGAGGGGUGGAGCUGGGAUUCAAACCCAGAUUCAGGUGGCUGGAGGAAUGCACUCACUGGUGAAUCCAGGGGUGGCAGAGAAAUGGGAGUGUGGUAUAGCUCAGCCAUUCCCUGAGAACGUUAGAGCUUCUCAAAGUUAUUUCUUAAAUGUUUAUUUAUUUAUGAGAAAGAGCAAGAAAGCAGGAGAGACAGACAAUCUGUUGCUUUAUUCUCCAAAUGCUUGCAACAGCCUGGGCUGAGCCAAGGUCAAAGGCCAAAGCCAGGAGCCCAGAAGUCAGUCUAGGUCUCCCCUGUGGGUGGCAGGGAGCCAAGCACUUGAACCAUUACCUGCUGUCUCCCAGGGUGCACAUUAGCAGGAAGCUGAUUGGAAGCAAAGAAGGCUGGACUUGAACCAAGCACCUUGUUAUGUGAUGUGGCUAUAUGAUGUGGGUGGGCUAUACCCAC